UCUCAGGUUGUCAGAAAGCAUGCAGGAGGCUCCGGCCAGGCUGCUGCACACUUUCCACUUUCUAAAAAAAAAAAACAACCCCACAAAACCUGCCGGGCAGACACAGAGCAGGGCAGAAAAGCCCUUUAAAUCAGCUGACAGCAGUGAGUUUGGCUGUAGGCUGAAGGAAAAGUGCAGUUCAGCAGGCAGGUAAAGAUGGGACAGGAGAAAACACAUGGACCAGGAGAACCAAAAUACACUUCUGCUGUCUGAUAGGACUCUGAUUCGGAUCCAGCAGGAACAGAUUUAGCUCUGCUGCGCUCUCAGGAAGGUGACGUGUGUAGAAAUAAGCCUGCGUGGGAUUACGUAACACCUCUACAUCACACAAACUGUUCAAUACGCUGCAGUGAAAUGACACCAAGUACCAAGUGUUUCUGAUAAUGUAUAAUCUAUAUCAUUUGAAAUGUAUGUAUAUAUGUAUAUAUGUAUGUAUAUUAAAUGUAGCUUUAACCUAGAACAACCAUGAGGCAUAGUCAUUUAUGGCUGUGUUAGUUAUAAAAGGUUUUGGCUGUCAAAUUUCUUGAUUUUUCAAAUUUCGAAACUUAACUUUUGCUCUCAACAGGCAAAGGAACAUGUAAAAAUGUAAUAGUUUGAUUAUCUUUGCCAAAAUGAUCUUGGUAAAUGAUAUUACAACUGUGGAAAUUCGAUGAAAAUCUACGAACAGUAUUAAAACAUAUAAAUAUA